GAUGAAGAACGUAGCGAAAUGCGAUAAGUAGUGUGAAUUGCAGAAGUACCGUGAAUCAUCGAAUCUUUGAACGCAAAUUGCACUCUCUGGUAUUCCGGGGAGUAUGCCUGUUUGAGGGUCGCUUAACAAACCAUCGAUUUCGUUGCUUUUUUUUUAAAGUGAUGUUUAUCGGAUUUGAGCCGUCUUUUUUUUUAUAUUUAAGUGGCUUAAAAUUGAUUUUUUUGGUACGAUCGAAGCGUAUUUUUAUGAUCAAUUUUUGGUUAAAGAAACGCACACGUACCGUUAUUUAUAUGAUGUAAUACGUUUGACUAUUGGAUUUAGUUCAUUCGUAUACGAUAUCUUUCAAUAUUUGACCUCAAAUCAGGUAAGAACACCCGCUGAACUUAAGCAUAUCAAUAAGCGGAGGA
rnacentral:misc_RNA from 1 species